rnacentral:rRNA from 1 species
GACGAACGCUGGCGGCGCGCCUAACACAUGCAAGUCGAACGGAGUGCGUUUGAAUGAAGUUUUCGGAUGGAUUUUAGAUGUACUUAGUGGCGAACGGGUGAGUAACACGUGAAUAACCUGCCCUGGAGUGGGGGACAACAGUUGGAAACGACUGCUAAUACCGCAUAAGCCCACAGAGCCGCAUGGCUCAGGGGGAAAAGAGCAAUCUGCUUCAGGAUGGAUUCGCGUCCAAUUAGCUAGAUGGUGAGGUAACGGCCCACCAUGGCGACGAUUGGUAGCCGGACUGAGAGGUUGAACGGCCACAUUGGGACUGAGACACGGCCCAG